GAUGAAGAACGUAGCGAAAUGCGAUAAGUAGUGUGAAUUGCAGAAUUCAGUGAAUCAUCGAAUCUUUGAACGCACAUUGCGCCCCAUGGUAUUCCGUGGGGCAUGCCUGUUCGAGCGUCAUUUACCCCCUCAAGCUCCGCUUGGUGUUGGGCGUCUGUCCCGCUUCGCGCGCGGACUCGCCCCAAAGGUAUUGGCAGCGGUCGUGCCAGCUUCUCGCGCAGCACAUUGCGCUUCUCGAGGCACCGGUGGGCCCGCGUCCAUCAAGCUCACCCCCCCAGUUUGACCUCGGAUCAGGUAGGGAUACCCGCUGAACUUAAGCAUAUAAUAGCGGAGGA
rnacentral:misc_RNA from 1 species